UUGGGCUUCUGAAGCUAUGUGCGGAUCUGGUCACUUCCCGAAAGGAAGCAUGUGAUAACACUAGAGGGUGUACAGGCAAGGUUCGUCAGGAUGUUGCCUGGAAUGAAGAAAAUGUGCUAUAGGUCGAGACGACAUAGACUUGGAUUGCUUUCUAUCGAGCAAAGAAUACUGAGUUGGCUCAUGUUUGAGGUGUAUGAGAUUAUGAGGGCUUUGGACAGACAUGUCACGGAAAACUGACUGAGGAGGUAGUGGAAGCCGGAAAUGUUACAAAAAUAUUUGGAUACAACUUCAAACAUCAUAACGUUCCAGGAAAUUGCGGCACACGAGCUCAGAACGGGCGGAUUGUUCGUGCUGUGGUUACCACUGCUGCCUCACAGCACCAGAAAGUCUCGUUUAAUUAUAGCCUCGGGCGAUUCUCGGUGUGGAGUUUCAAGGUCUCCCUGCAUCUGAGUGGGUGACCUGCAGGUAUUCCAAUUUGCAAACACAAUCCAAAGGUUUGCAGGGCAGAUUUAUUGGCCGUGCUAAAUUGCCGAAAUGAUACUGGGAUGUGCUGUUCAGGACGAUUAGCCAUGGCACAUGUAAGCUUACAGGGAUCCGGUAGGGAUGUGAGUCUUCAGAGUCUUGGUGUGGACCUGUUGGGCCAAAUGGCCUGUCCCUACGUUGUAGGGAUUGUGCGAUUGCAGAAGAAUUGAAAAAUAUUGACACAAAACUGUACGGAAGGCGUUUGUUUCCAUAAAACAAUUUUUGCGGCUUGCUAUGUGCAUUGCCGCCUGAGGCCUGGCUGAUGAAUUCGGUUUUCAUAGCCUGAUCUUGGAACUGCUGUCUUUCUCUGCUUCUCAGGCCAUUAGUGCUACUUCACUGAAUGAUAUAUUAAUUAUCUGUCUCUUAUUGGUAAAAUUAGACAAGCUGAACCAGCAGUACAAGAUAACAUUGAGUUUUGCUGACAUUCAG